CCGAACCUCUUCGGGAGACUACUUCUCGCGGUAUCUGACUCCUAGGCUCCGCCCUCUGCACGCCGCUCACGGUAUCUGACGCUCAGGCUCCGCCCCCUGCAUGUCUUUGUUGGCAAACAGUUUCGGGGGUCGUCCGAGCCUGCCGGCUGGGAAGUUCAAGCACAUGGCUCUAGCUUCUGGUGAGAGGUUUCAGGCUGCGUCAUAAUAUGGCAGAGAAGAUCAAUGGGUAAAUGGACAUGUGUGAAGAAAGGCAAAACCAGAGAGCAUCCAGGCUGGACUUGAACUCCUUCCUGGGCUGAAGUGAUCCUCCUGCCUCAGCGUCCUGAAUAGGAAGUGGAGCCAGAAUCCACAGAUGUCAUUAUCCAUCUGCACACUUUGUUUACUACCCAGAAGGCAAGAAUAUUGCAUUUUAAAAGUGCCCGGACUUUUGUUCUUUCUUAUCACAAAUGACUUGGGAAGCUCCGACCACUCAUGUUUACCCCGAGUGAAAGUCCCAUUCAAAGCCUUGCUUCCUGGAGAGCUUUGAGAUUCUGGUACAAAAGGCAUUUUAUAAGCACAAAGUGGAAAAGCAUCAUUCAUAUUCAUUUGCUGCUGCGGCAUUUCUCCCUGGAAUCUUCCUCUUGUCUGUCAACAUUGGGCAAAAGGACUGGCCUCAUCUACAUUACAGAUAUCCUUGUGAUGGUCUGGAGGGACCUGUGGGAGAGGCGGCCAUCCAGAGGGCUCUCUGAGGGGUCAUUUAGAAUGCAGCUCUUCUGGGCAGAGGAUGGUCUGCACUGGCCUCCACCGCGCAGGAAGGCUUCCAGAGUGGAGAAAUGUCCACUAACAUGGCUUCUGUGAGGUGUGGGCAGCUCUUUUCUUGGUGUGGGGCUCUGUUUGGUGUGAUGUAAGAGGUAUCACAGGGCUUUCCUGUCCCAGAAGAUCUUAGUGGAUGACACCUAUGGGGGUUGCCAGCUGGAUUAGAUGAGGCAGAGCACACAGCUCUACCUAAGGGGUCCCAUUCUCAUCUGGGAAUAUUCUAGGACAUAGGACACUACCCAAGAGGCAGAGCCUGGAGUGGCAUUAUACGGGUGAAAGAUCUGAGUGCCAGGUCCAUAUAAAUGAGUGGGGUUGGGGGGAUCGAGGUGCUUAGAGAACAGGAGAGCUGCCACAGGAAGGGAUGGUACCCACAGGGAGGAAGAACCAUGUCUCAGAUUCCUUCCUUUAUACCUCUUCCUGGGACCUCCUUGGAGUCUGCAGAUCAGCUGGUGCUUCUCCGUCUCCUGUCAUCUUCUUCAAAUCUUUUCAUCACAAAAAAUUUUCAGUGUAAACCUAAGUAGAGAGAACAGUAAAAGGAACCCCCAGGGGCCGUCACCAUCACCCACCAUCAACAGCGAUCAAUGGGCCGUCUAAGUCCGUUUUCCCUACUUUCAUCCCCGCUCCAGAUUAUUAUCAAAAGUAGCUCAUCCCUAGUUAUAUUUCAUUUAAUCCUCUCUGUUGCAUUUUUUUUCUGGCCACGUUCUUCUGUCUGUCAAUCAUUGUCUUAAGUCAGACAGUCUGCUGGGUUGGCUAGGAAAAGACUCUUUCUUUCUCAAGAAAGAGUUCUAAGUAAUUUUGAGAGAAAUGUUGCAGAUUGACCAAACAAGGUAUGCUUAAUUUAGUUCAAUUCAUCAGUUACUUAUUGAGUCCUAGGCUCAGUGCUGGAUUCAACAUAUCAGUCAAACAUGGUUUCUGGCCUACAGGGUUCAGUGCUCUAGUUCUGGGUGUGCGACGAGGACCACAGCAAGUAUUCACUCAGGAAAGGCAGAAUGUGGCCACAGGGAAAGGAAAGGUACAAGGUGUGGCGGAGGUUACAAGGCAUGACAAACACACUGGGCUGGGAAUGGUAACAGUGGAAGAGGAUCAGGAAGGGUCGUGAAGCCUGAGGCAUUGGAGAGGGACUUGGAAACCUGGGCAGACAGUGGGACGGUGACUGCAAAACACUCAAGUGUGCAGGUGGGAAUGGCAGUGGGGGACAGGCAAGCCUAGCAGCGAGAACACAUGGUGCAAGGGGCCCCAUGGGGGAUCUGGGGUGGGGGAGGUAGGCAAUUGGGCUCUCAAAGAAACCCUUGGGCUUUUUCUAGCUUAAUAACUAAACAAUCAUUAUUUCUAAGGAAAAAGAAAACUGGAUUUCUAGAAGCAUGGCUAUUAAAAAAAAAAAACAAUUCCAGACCCCAAUUAGGAAACUGAAAGGAAAUCAAAGUGGGCCUAAUGGAAAUUAGGUAGUAGGGGUAAUAAAAGAAAAUGCAGGUAGCUGCCUAAAAUCCAGUGGACUCCAGGUCCACCAGCCAGGCACCACAUUGUUUUAACCUAUAAAUGAAGUAUGUCCAUGACUCUCACUACAUAAAAUGGAAGUUAAGCCAUAGUCCUUUUCCACCGUGAUCUGAAAAUGUACUGUUUUUGCCUCUAGCAAAGCAAAUAUAUAGACAGAAAAUUCCUAGCACUGCUUUCACGUGAGGGAUGACAAAGGUGACAGACUCGGGCAAAAUGUUCAUAUUCUAUACGUGAAAUGGAAUGGUAACUUGAUUUUUCAAAAGGAUAAGAUUCUCGUUACAAAUUUAAGCAUAUUUAUUAAAGAAAACUCAAAUU
rnacentral:lncRNA from 1 species